AUUUUGAACCAGCAGCACCAGCCGUCGUUAUUAUUACAGAAUAGACAUGAUGGAACUGGCGCAAAUGCAAGUCUGCAUUUAUUUGAGUCCAGGAGAGAAGGGACCGAGCAAGACGCGCAGUUAAUAAACUGCGGAAGAUAAGAUAUAUUCGCCCAAACUAUCAACAACUGGACCAUAAAUUUCUAUAACGUGGAAUCCUGUUUUUUUAUUUUAUCAAAUGCUUUUGAAACCGGGUAACGUUUGUGCCUUUUUAAUUGCUAUUUCAACCGACGGUUAAUCCAAUUUCUGAACGCUACCCGUGCAAGGAAGGAACGUGGAGUUUGGCAUCGCGUCCCUCUCAGCUGAAUUUUCAAUGAGCGCCACAGAGAAUUCCACCGAGGAUUCCAAAUUGGAAUCUGUCAUACAGGUGUGUUUGCUGUGAGUGUGAAAUGAGGGUUCCACACUGUUCAAAAUAGUGUCAUGGGUGACUGCUGAGACACCACCUGGUCUCCUGGCAGCAAAUACAGCCCCAGCACCUAGCUG